rnacentral:rRNA from 1 species
UACGUAGGGUGCGAGCGUUGUCCGGAAUUAUUGGGCGUAAAGAGCUCGUAGGCGGCCUGUCGCGUCGGAUGUGAAAGCCUGGGGCUCAACCCCGGGUCGGCCGUGCGAACUGUCGAGCUCGAGCACUGUAGAGGCAGGCGGAAUUCCGGGUGUAGCGGUGGAAUGCGUAGAGAUCCGGAAGAACACCGGUGGCGAAGGCGGCCUGCUGGGCAGUAGCUGACGCUGAGGCGCGACAGCGUGGGGAGCAAACAGG